GCUGUGGGGCUUGUCGCUGCCGCCGCCUCCGCUACCGCUAGUGGAAGAAGAUGGCGGAAGGCGGAGCGGCGGAUCUGGACACCCAGCGGU
rnacentral:miRNA from 1 species